rnacentral:rRNA from 1 species
CAGCAGCCACGGGAAUACGGAGGGUGCAAGCGUUAAUCGGAAUUACUGGGCGUAAAGCGCACGCAGGCGGUCUGUCAAGUCAGAUGUGAAAUCCCCGGGCUUAACCUGGGAACUGCAUUUGAAACUGGCAGGCUAGAGUCUUGUAGAGGGGGGUAGAAUUCCAGGUGUAGCGGUGAAAUGCGUAGAGAUCUGGAGGAAUACCGGUGGCGAAGGCGGCCCCCUGGACAAAGACUGACGCUCAGGUGCGAAAGCGUGGGGAGCAAACAGGAUUAGAUACCCGCGUAGUCCCUGUCUCUUAUAC